GUCUGUUCCCCCUAUGUUCCCCCUAUUUUUCCGUUCAGUGUAGUGUUUUUAUGGCGUUUUUUAUCACGUUAUAGGUUUUAUUAUUUAUAUAUUUAAAGUUUGAAUGGCUACUGAGAUGUAUAUGUGUGCAUUUCUGUAAUUUAUCUGUAUUGUUUUUAAUGGUAAGUCAAUUAUUUUUACAGUAUGAAUCAUAUUAUAUGUAUAAUAUUUAUUUAAUUAUGUAUGCAAACAUUACAUUUUUAAAACAACCAGUAGAGGAAAAAAAAGAAAAAGACAGGCUAUAUUUUAAAAGAAAUACCCUAAUAGAAAACUGUCAAAUGUAUGAAAUAUUUAAUAAAUUGUAUUAUAAAAUACAUGAUAUUAUGCCUUUUUAGUAUAACCAAUUCAAAUCUUUAAUCUUUCUAAAUGUAACGUGAUGAAACCGCUAUAAAAGCACUACACUAAAGGGAAACAUAGGGGGAACUGAGUUCGACACAACACCCCCUCUCAGUACUAGUCGCUGACAACAGGCAGCCAGCCAACCAUGUGAUCUCUGCUACCGGCAAAAUACAAAACUUCGGCAGUCAUCAUGAAGCGGAUUUAUGCUUCUGGAAGCCAAUAAAGAAAGGAAGAGGAGUAUAAGAAAAAACAAAAUAGUGGUGCUUUGCUUAAAUUUCUCAGCGGACAGGUUCUUCCUAAAGAUACAUCCACUGAUGAAGCUACACCAUCAACGUCAUCCUCAACAUCAACAGAUGCAUCACUUCUCAGUGCUGAUGUUUCCUCUAUAGCACAAGGUACCACAAGCUCUAUAAUUAUAGCUAAAAUCAUGCACAGCCCAAAGUUUAAACUGAUAAGUGUGUGCUGUCAUAUUGUUAGAAAAAAAAACAGUGCAAAUCACUAUUGAAUUCCCACCAAACUGUGUAAAUAAACAUUAAACUGUAAACCUUAAACUGUAUGGCUAUGCUGUGGUUCCUGUAGGCUUUGCGUGCGUGUGGGGGGGCCUCCAUGUCCAUUUUGCUUGGGGCCCCCAAAUUCCUUCAAACGGCCCUGUGUAAGGUAUACAGUAAAGUGCUUAAGUUAAGCCAAAGUUGGCUGACUCUCCCGGGGACGAAAAAACCCCUAGGAGAAAACCCAGUGGGAAAAACUCCUAGAAGGACAAAAAACCCUUUGGAGAAAUUAAUAUAUAUAAACACGGUAGGGAUAGGAAGCGGGUAAGCGGAUUAAACUGGUUCAGCCGGUGGUCGUCGGACGUGCAUCGGCUGGGCAUCAGUAGAUCAGUGGUGUGAUGACCUUCACAGCAACAGGAACUGGGUCUGUUUGUCUCAUUGUCCUCGGGGUCGAGGACGAGACAGGGAGAAAUAUACAAUUUGUUCAUACAAUUUAA